ACGCAUCAGUUCUAAAGAUGGAAGGAAGAAGAUGCCAACAAUAAAGUGGAGAGACAUUUAAAAACCAAAGGAGUUUGGCGGUUUGGGGGUGGUUGAUAUCACCAUAAAGAAUGCAGCAUUAUUGUUCAAAUGGUGGUAGAGGUUUGUAAAGGAAGAUAAACCACUAUGGAAAAAGAUUGUUAUCUCUUGUAAUGAGGGACAUCUGAAUAACCAUGUGGUGGAAAGUAGUUUUCCAAAAUCGAAUGGACCGUGGAGAGAUAUUGUACAAGUGGUAAAUGAAGACAACCUUUUUAAAGAAAUAGCAAUGAAAGACUUCAAAAUGUGUGUGGAAAAUGGGGGUAAGACAAAAUUUUGGGAAGAUGUCUGGGUGGGCGAACGGUGUCUGAAAAAUAAGUUUCCAAUGUUGUAUUCUAUUUCUUUGCAAAAAUCCAAGUUGAUCUCAAAUUGUGGCUUCUGGGAUGGUCUCUGUUGGAACUGGAACCUUGUAUGCAGAAGGCGUUUCUUUGAGUGGGAGAGUAACUGUUAGGAAUUACACACCAUUUUACAUAAUGUUGUUCUUAAUGCAGGUACUGAAGAUGAUACUAUCUGGUCUCUUUCUGAGGAUGGGUGCUCUUCGAUGAAGUCACUGAUUAGUACCGCCAUAGGAGAAAAGUUAGGGGUGGCAGAAUGAAAGCAUUUUUUUGGCAACAUUUGGAGAGGAAUGGUACCACCUAGAGUGGAGAUGAUGGGGUGGUUUGCUUUACUAGAUGAAGAGGUUGAGGAUCACUUGUUUGUGCAUUGUAAAUUCAUUUACAAGUUGUGGUGUUUAGCUUUAAUGUUGGGGGGUGUGGUGUGGGUAAAUCCGAGUAGUAUUAGAGAGUUCUUUGAAGCUUGGUGUGUGUAAAAGGGUAUGGCCAUGGGUUUAGAAAAUGGGUUAAUCUUUUCUUUGCAAUCAUAUGGGUGACAUGGAAGAUUAGAAAUCGUAGAGUCUUUGAGCUGAAAGAAACGAAGGAAGAGGAGGCAUGGGAGGAGAUAUUGAGUCAUUGGAAGGAGUGGAAAAAGGUUCAAAGUAAGAGGUUUGUGUGUACAAAAAAUCAAGUGAGUCCAACUCUUUCUCUUCAUAUACCACAAUUGGCUCAUAAACUACAUUGGUGGUUAUGUGUUGAAUUUAUUCCAGAAAAAUAGAGAUAUGCAGUAGGCGGAAUGUUCUUGGUACUACUAACAAGUUGCUGGCCAUUGUAAGUGAAUUAAUAUGUGUAGGUAACAGGAUAAUGGAAGUUGUCCAUGGCGUUGAAGUCGUUGUACAAGUUGUUAUUGAAGAAUCACUAGGACAACCUGAGGAACUUAUAAUAAAAACUAUAGAAGAAAAUAUCAUCAAAUGGCAAAGGGAGGAUACUAGGAGUUGCUGGACACAAAACUUUGAAAGAAAUAAGCUAAGGAAUUUGCUGCAAGAAGUUAGAAACAUCAAGUUUAUAUUGACAAAGGCCAAGGAAUUUUCUUUGAUUGAGAAUUGGAGACAAAUAGCAAAAGAUAGUGAUGAAUUUUGUGUGAUUUGGUAUAACUAGUAAUGGUGUGUUGUAUAUAAUUAGUACCAAGGGACACUACGGAGAUUAAUGAAAUGGUUGUGGUUUGAGUGAAGGAAAAUGUCUCUUUAGGUGAUUAAGUAUAAUAUGUGUUAGGAGAUAAUCUUUUUGAAAUUAUGAGUUGUUUGUAAUUUAUCUGAACAAUCCUCUCCUUUGAGUCGAGAUUCCUAACAAUAAUUAAAAGAAAAAAAAGAUAUAAGGUAUAUCCAGAGACAAAAGAGAGGAAACAAGCAAGUUAUAAUUUAGAUUGAGAUUAGGAUAACAAAUUUUUAACUUUGUUUAUGUACAUUUAUACCAAUAGUACCAAGUGAAUAAGUGGUUUUUUUUUCCCUUCUCCUUGGUUAUGCAAUUUGUCCCCUUUAUUCCUCCUCAAAUGUUUCUAUCUUAUUUAUACAAAAUUUCUUGUUGCUUUGUUAUAGUUUAUAUGCUAUGUUUUAAGUUCUAUUAGCUUUAAGAAAUUUCUUUGUUGAAUUAAGAUUGGAAAAAAAAUAGAUAAAUAAAAGUUAGUACUUUAAACAUUAUAACUGUUUAUCAAAAUUUUAAGUACUUGUUAGAAGCAAGUUGAAUAAAUCAAGGAAAAUAUUAAAAAAACCAAAAGGAUGGUACACAACAUAUUCUGUGAAGAAAGGGAUGUUAACAGUUUCAAUAUGCAAAGUUCGGCUUUCAGGAUGAGCAGUUUUUACAACACCACCCAACCACC